rnacentral:tRNA from 2 species
AAAAAGAUAAGCUAAUGAAGCUAACGGGUUCAUACCCCUUAAAUAUAGGUUAAAUCCUAUUCUUUUUA